AUGAGCAAAAGAAACAAGACAUUGAAUUCUUUUUUUCAAGUUCGAACCACCGAAGCCGCAGAAACCGGUCCUUCAGCUCAAACAACUGAUGUUGGAUCCAUGGCUGCCCCUAAUGUUAGAGCUGAACUCAAACCAGGCGAUGUUAAAUCUGACCCCGUUAAGAGAAUACCAAUUGAGGAGUUAGAUCCAGACAUUAGAGAUCUUGCUAGAAGGGAGUACAUUAGUAUGGGUCCUUGCCAACCAACUAAUCAUACAUAUGAAAAGAUAAAUGGUAGGAGCUUUCAUGACUAUUGGUUCAAUGAUCAUCGCGGCUGGUUGGAAUAUAGCAUUGAAAAAAAAUCAGCCUUUUGCUUUUAUUGUUUUUUGUUUAAGCAACCAAGAGCUGAAAACUAUGGUAUUGAAGCAUUCACGAGAAAUGGAUUCAAAUCUUGGAAGGAUGGACCUAAAGUUUUUAAUCAGCAUGUUGGCAAGCAUGAUAGUGCUCAUAAUAAAUCUAGGCAACAUUAUGAGGAUUUCAAAAAUCAAAGACAAAAUCUGCCACAUGUCUUUGAUAGGGGUUCUCAGAAGCAAGAAGAAGAAUACAAAGCCCGUCUCUUGAUUAUAUUGGGUAUUGUCAAAUUUUUGAUACUACAAGCUCUUGCUUUUCGUGGUCAUGAUGAGUCUACUAGCUCAAUGAAUAAGGGUAACUUUAAAGAGUUGUUGGACUUGUUCAUAAAGAAAGACCCAAAGGCUAUCGCACACGUAAAGGUGUUUUGCCUCGUCCUACACGUAAGUUUUCACAUUUGCAUCUAUCGUUAA
rnacentral:rRNA from 1 species